rnacentral:lncRNA from 1 species
UCAAGGAUACACCCGCAGAGAGUGUAUCAGAUCAUAGAAGAAGAGGUCAAAGAUGGCCGAUACAACGUCAAGAGGCUACACGAUACAAACACGACGCCACACGGAGCACAAUACAACCCACACAGCCAAGCAACAAGACUCACCUUGCACAUCCUCCGACCAUGAACGACAAGGAGGGUGUACACCGAGCUUCAAAGCCGCGUCACGACCGAAGAUGAGAACUUCAGACCUACUCCAACUCCAAGAAGGCACAAGCCAA